rnacentral:misc_RNA from 1 species
CUAGCAGGCUUGUUCGGGUUGCGUUUCGACCCUCCGACAGCGUCCCCUCGCGGGCGUCGUCGGUGCGGCCGCCGCAGCCCGACUUGCGAUGGGAUGACGCGUGAGUGGUUGUUAGGAUAUGUUUGCCGCGCAGGCUCCGUGUAGCCGUCACCGAACUGCGUGGGUCUGUCCCCUUCAUCGGUGAGCUCGCCGCGACCGAUUCCCGGCCGUUUGCGACCGCUCGUAGGGUUCCUGUGCUCGAUAAUCGACUCCGGUAGUCGGAUGGAUUGCUGUUCCCCGUCUUGGAUCCUUGGUCGUCCUACGCCUCGCGGAGGCGUUGGCGGUUGUCGUCCGGGCAUCGACGUUUACCUUUCGAGCGGGUGCCUUCCUUCGGGCUCUUCCCCUCGCGACGGUACGCGGUUGCUUCCGGCGCUCUCGGGUACGGAGAUCUUGUCGGUCGUCCUCGGGUCCUCGUCGGCCCGCGCGAUCGUAACGACGAGCGGAGUUUCUCCGCCUCGGCUCGCGCAACCCUCGUGCUCUUUCGGGGGCUCGCGGAGCCGCUCGGUUCCGCGUUCUUCUCGGGGAGUCGUCGAGGCCUGCGAAGGAACGCUACCUGGUUGAUCCUGCCAGUAGUCAU